rnacentral:rRNA from 1 species
UGCAGUCGAACGAGAUUAGAGAGCUUGCUCUCUAUGAAAGUGGCGCACGGGUGCGUAACGCGUAUGCAACCUACCUUAAUCAGGGGGAUAGCCCGAAGAAAUUCGGAUUAAGACCGCAUAGAAACACAGCACAGCAUUGUGCAAUGUUCAAAUAUUUAUAGGAUUAAGAUGGGCAUGCGUGUCAUUAGCUAGUUGGCGGGGUAACGGCCCACCAAGGCGACGAUGACUAGGGGAUCUGAGAGGAUGACCCCCCACACUGGUACUGAGACACGGACCAGACUCCUACGGGAGGCAGCAGUAAGGAAUAUUGGUCAAUGGAGGGAACUCUGAACCAGCCAUGCCGCGUGCAGGAAGACAGCCCUCUGGGUCGUAAACUGCUUUUAUUCGGGAAUAAACCUUAUUACGUGUAAUAAGCUGAAUGUACCGAAAGAAUAAGCACCGGCUAACUACGUGCCAGCAGCCGCGGUAAUACGUAGGGUGCAAGCGUUAAUCGGAAUUACUGGGCGUAAAGCGUGCGCAGGCGGUUUUGUAAGUCUGAUGUGAAAUCCCCGGGCUCAACCUGGGAAUUGCAUUGGAGACUGCAAGGCUAGAAUCUGGCAGAGGGGGGUAGAAUUCCACGUGCAGCAGUGAAAUGCGUAGAUAUGUGGAGGAACACCGAUGGCGAAGGCAGCCCCCUGGGUCAAGAUUGACGCUCAUGCACGAAAGCGUGGGGAGCAAACAGGAUUAGAUACCCUGGUAGUCCACGCCCUAAACGAUGUCUACUAGUUGU